rnacentral:lncRNA from 1 species
GACCCCUCCCCCGCACCGACGUGAUUCGGAUCGCGCGGUGCUGGCGCCGCCUUCAUGCGCCCUGCCUGGCCCCCACCUGGUCCUCUUUCCUUUUCAGGUGGAGGAGAUGCCGCUGUCCCGUCGGUCUGGGGACAGCCCAGCUCCCCGGAUCCCGGGCUGGAGAGACGCGUCGCGGCCCCGGGGCCUGGUGGCACGAGCAGGAAGGAGGACCCGGCGGCGGGCUCUGCCUGGGCUUGCCUGGGCUUGUUCCGAGCCGGGCUGCUUCUCGGUGACCACGCAGAUCGGGGGCAUUUGGAGAUUUUGCGGGAGUCCUGCAGCCAAGCUCCGGGGCAGGAGAGGCCUGGAAGCCUGCACUACCUGCUCGCCCCGUCCCAGCAUGCACCCAGGUGCUGGGGAGAGGCAGGACAGGCCUGUCCCCCGAGUCCCCUCCGGAUGCCGUGGACCGGCCAGCUGUGAGUGUUUCUUUGGCAGUGUCUUAGCUGGUUGUUGUGAGCAAUAGUAAGGAAGCAAUCAGCAAGUAUACUGCCCUAGAAGUGCUGCACGUUGUGGGGCCCAAGAGGGAAGAUGAAGCGAGAGAUGCCCAGACCAGUGGGAGACGCCAGGACUUCGGAAGCUCUUCUGCGCCACGGUGGGUGGUGAGGGCGGCUGGGAAAGUGAGCUCCAGGGCCCCAGGAGCAGCCUGCUCGUGGGUGCGGAAGGAAAAAGGCACAGGGGCUUGGUGUGGGCGGCUUUUGGCUGGGAGAAGUUUGCACGUAGGGAGAAUAGUAGCCAGUGUUUGCAGAGCACUUACUAUGCAGGAAGGCCUGUCCUAAGUAUUGUAAGUGUAUUACAUCAUGUACAAGUGUCUGUGAUUAACCCCGUCUUGCAGAGAAGGAAACAAAAGUACAAACAGAAAAUGUAACUAAGCAUGCAAUUAAUAAAAAGGGACCAGGUUUUGAACGCGAGCAAUCUGGCUCAAGAAUCUGCGCCCAACCACCGGCUCCUGUUCUUAGAGAUGAACGUGGAGUCCUGGAGACUGCUCAACAUUGUGACUUGACUGUGAGCGUACGCGCUCCCUGUCCCCAGGAGACAGAUUUCCAGUGCAAUCAUAGAAAGUGCCUGUGUGGGCUUCGGGAGAUGUGUCUGCCUUGGGGAGAAUUUUCCUUUUCAGCUAGAGCCAGGCCCAGGAUGUUGACGUCAGUGAGACGCUGGUGACGUUCUCUGCUCCAGUGGCUGAUGAGAAAAGUUCCUCCAAGCCAGCUCAGUUGAGAAGAAUUAAGUUCUCUGGGUCCCACUGGCUUCACCUACAGAUGCCAACUUUGAGGCCAGUGAACUGUGAGGCCAGCUGGGCUGAUUGCCAUGGCAACAGGAAUUGGACCAAAGUCACCGGAGGAUGGAGAGGGAAGACACAGUGGUGGCUUCCCCAGGUCUUGGACCACAAGGCACAGCCGUGGCCUCCAGGAACCCUGAGAUAACCCGUUAGUGGGUCCUGCACUCCAACAGAGCUCAUGCAAUCAGCCUCUGGUCCUCACCCUCCUCCCAUUGGUGUCGUUGUGCUCUCUAACAUUGACAUUGAGCAGUGAGUGCUCCAGAUCUUGUUCCACUGAUUUUUUCCACUGUUCUCCAGUCUAGCACUUUCUGAAAUUCAUCCAAGCCUAAGAGGUGACGCCAAACGUAAGUGUCUUACACCUCGGACCCCAUGGACUAAGACAAGCCUCUGGGGUCCAUGUGGCACCAAGGAUGGGGCCUUCUAGUACCUUUCACACAGGCCAGGGACAGCACCUGCUGCGACCCCCACCCCCAGCCUCUGCUGCUUCUCCCGUUGCCCUUCCAGCCACUGCCCUGGGCACCUCCCCUGCUCCCGCCUCCCUGCCUGGGCCCAUCUUUCUUUGCACCUCACCAAUUGCGGGGCUUCCUAGUGCUGGAGGGGAAGGGAGCCUGCUUCCAUUCUCACCACUCUGAAAGAAGACCCUGCAGAGAGGUUUUCUGGAAUUUGGAGCCUAACCUUGGCCUUGACACAGUCCAGAUGAGAAGGCCGUCCCCCAGUUAAGCCAGCCCUCCCUCCCUCUCAAUGCUGGAGAGGAAACCAGGCAGCUGGUUGCUUCAGCAAACCCCCUCCCUAUGGGAAUUGUCCUUUUCUUCCUCAAAUAGACUGGAGUGCAGAGGACUUGCUUCAGAGAGAGCCCCUUUGUAACGCACAUUGCACGGGCCGUGCCCCAUGCCCACUCUGCCACAAACUCCCCUCAGCUGCCCAGCCCCGUGGAGCCAGGCGUGGGCUGAAGUGGGGCCAAUGAAAUGCCUGGAAUGCCAGCCGCAGUGACAGGCCAGCACUCAGAUGCCUCUCGGGAGUUCUGACCGAAGCAGCACUGAGGACUGCUUCAGAGCAGAAGUCUACGCCAUUUUCCCCAGUUCUAGGCAGAAGUAAAGAAUGUCUCUACCUUCUCCCAACCAGCAAUUGAUUCAGAGUCCUGAGCUUUUAAAUUAAAGGGACCCCUCUGUUGCUUUAUGCAGUAGCCAGCUUAUUCAUUUGAGUUCAGGUGAAAUCAUUUUCAAGUAACCUCUUCCUAUCCAGCUUUACUUUUAGUUAUGCUGACAUAAAAACAAUAAAAAUUGUCCUCCUCAGAGUUCACCUGUAAAAGUUCCUGGAUAAUUAGUAAGGAAACAGAAAGAGCAGAUAGUUGUUGCUUCAGAUAAAAGUGAUGUCUGGGUUGGGCACGGUGGCGCAUGCCUGUAAUCCCAGCACUUGGGGAGGCCCAGGUGGAUGGAUCCCUUGAGCUCAGGAGUUUCAGACCAGCCUGGGCAACAUCUCUACAAAAAAUACAAAAAUUAGCCAGGCAUAGUGGCAGGACUGUAGUCCCAGCUACUCAGGAGGCUGAGGUCAGGGGAUGGCUUGAGCCCAGGAGGCACAGAUUGAAGUGAGCUGAGAUUGCGCCACUGUAUUCCAGCCUAGGUGACAGAGCCAGACCCUGUCUCAAAUUAAAAAAAACUCUUUGUGGUCAUUUAAUUUACUUCUGCAUUCUUUUUUUUUUUUUUUUGAAAUGGGCAGUGGUACCAUCUCAGCUCACUGCAACCUCUGCCUUGGGGGUUCAAGUGAUUCUCCUGCCUCAGCCUCCCGAGUAGCUGGGAUUACAGGCACCCGCCACCACGCCCAGCUAAUUUUUGUAUUUUUAGUAGAGACGGGGCUUUGCCAUGUUGACCAGGCUGGACUCAAACUCCUGACCUCAGGUGAUCCGCCCACCUCGGCCUCCCAAAGCACUGGGAUUACAGGAAUGAGCCACUGCACUCGGCCUACUUCUGCAUUCCUUAGAGUACAUCCUAGCUAGGAUAUAUUCACUUGUCUUUAGAGCUAACAGCAGAAGAAAGGUACCUAGAUGCUUAUCUAGCUCUUUAUCUUUCUAGAAAUUCUAGAAGAUGAGAGGGGCAGUGGUGGCUCCAAGGGAGUGAUUUUAGGAUGGACUGGGACAGAGAGGGGCUGCUUACACAUACUCACACAGAGGCCAUUAAUUUAGGGAGUUCAAGGUCCAGGAGGUUGACGGCAUCUAGGCCUGUGGCAGAGUGCACUCCUGCUUUGGGGAAUGUAUGGGCAGCUUCUUGCCUGUAGUUGGAGGGUUAGAGAGAGGGAUCAAUAAUUUCAUGGUUGGACUUGAGUUUGGAGCGAGUGGAGUUAGAUACAAAUUCUAUGUUUUUGGAGAAAGUAUUUGAUCUUCUUGGCUGUGAGGCAAAGCGAGGUUUAAAAAUAUUUUUCACUUAAAAAUAUAUAUAUAUGCAUGUAUAUUUAAUACUGUCUAUGGAUUGUGCCAAUAUCUAUUUCAUGGUUUUGAUAUUGUGUAGUUAUACAAGGAGUUACCACUGAACGAAACUGGGGGAAGGGUACACAGAAUCUCUGUACUUUUUUUGUUGUUGUUGCAAUUUCCUGUAAAUCUAUGAUUAUUUUAAAAUAAAAAAGUUAAAGCAUACGUAUUUACAUUUGAUUAAAUGCAGUGUGAUAUCCUGGGUUGGAUUUUGGAACAAAACAAGGCAUGAGUGAAAAAACUGGUAAAAUCCAAAAAAGCCUUUAGUUAAAAGUAAUACCAGUGUUAAUUUCUUAGUUUUGACAAAUGUGCCAUGGCUGUGUAAGAUGCAAAUGUUAGAGGAAACUGGGCGAAGAAUUUGAGGGAACUCUCUGUACUAUUCUUUGCAGCUUUUCUGUAAAUCUACAAUUAUUCCAAAAUAAAAGUCUAUUAAAAAUGUAA